rnacentral:siRNA from 1 species
ACAUAUGUUCAGGGCCAGCCCUGA